rnacentral:rRNA from 1 species
GACGAACGCUGGCGGCGUGCUUAACACAUGCAAGUCGAACGGAAAGGCCCUGCUUUUGUGGGGUGCUCGAGUGGCGAACGGGUGAGUAACACGUGAGUAACCUGCCCUUGACUUUGGGAUAACUUCAGGAAACUGGGGCUAAUACCGGAUAGGAGCUCCUGUUGCAUGGUGGGGGUUGGAACGUUUCGGCGGUUGGGGAUGGACUCGCGGCUUAUCAGCUUGUUGGUGGGGUAGUGGCUUACCAAGGCUUUGACGGGUAGCCGGCCUGAGAGGGUGACCGGCCACAUUGGGACUGAGAGACGGCCCAGACUCCUACGGGAGGCAGCAGGGGGGAAUAUUGCACAAUGGGCGGAAGCCUGAUGCAGCAACGCCGCGUGCGGGAUGACGUCCUGCUGGUUGUAAACCGCUUUCGCCUGUGACGAAGCGUGAGUGACGGUAAUGGGUAAAGAAGCACCGGCUAACUACGUG